rnacentral:tRNA from 1 species
AGGAAUGUAGCUCAGUAGUAGAGCACUUGGCAUGGUAACUAAGGGGGCGUUGGUGCGAAUCCAAUCAUUCCUUUA